AGCGAACAGUGUCCCUGAAUUAAUCCGUUCUCGUGCUACUAAUAAAGGCAUACCAGAGACUGGGUAAUUUAUAAAGAAAAAAGUUCCACUACUGCCCGGGCAGGAAAUGCAGAUUCACUGAUCAGUUUCCUCACCUGUGAAACAAGAGAGCAAAUCUCCAGCCCUCCAGACAAUUAAUUACAGAAGUCACAAUUAUGGCGUGCCCCCUCCUCCUUGAUCAUCCAGCCAGAACCAUGUCCUAUGCCUCUUGCAGACCAGAUUAAUGAUCAU
rnacentral:lncRNA from 10 species